rnacentral:rRNA from 1 species
GACAGAGGGGGCAAGCGUUGCUCGGAAUCACUGGGCGUAAAGGGCGCGUAGGCGGGAUGGCAAGUCAGUCGUGAAAUCUCUCGGCUCAACCGAGAAACGUCGGCUGAUACUGCCGUUCUUGAGGGAUGCAGAGGAGACUGGAAUUCCCGGUGUAGCGGUGAAAUGCGCAGAUAUCGGGAGGAACACCUAUGGCGAAGGCAGCUCGCUGGGACGUUACUGACGCUGAGACGCGAAAGCGUGGGGAGCAAACAGG